UACGUAGGGGGCGAGCGUUGUCCGGAUUCAUUGGGCGUAAAGCGCGGGCAGGCGGCCCGCUCAGUCGGCCGUGAAAGCGCCGGGCUCAACCCCGUGCAUGCCCAGGAUACUGUCAGACUGGAGACACGUAGAGGCAAGCGGAAUUCCGGGUGUAGCGGUGGAAUGCGUAGAGAUCCGGAAGAACACCGGUGGCGAAGGCGGUUCUACUGGGCAUUACCUGACGCUGAGGAGCGAAAGUGUGGGGAGCGAAACAGG
rnacentral:rRNA from 1 species